GGUCCAUUGCACAUAUCAACAUAUAUAGUUCAGUGCUUGGUAACCAAGCCUUAAAGUGAUCCCAAAAAAUUUUUCUGCUGGCGGCAAUAUUGGAAAUUUUCAGUGAAAAACGUCGACUAUAAACUCCAAAGUCCAAUUAUAAAAACAGACUCGUCACAUCGAGAAUUAAAUAUAUAUAUAUAUAUAUAUAUACGUCCUUUUAAAUAGCGUUUUAAAUAAUAGACGAUGCAGCGAGAAACAAGAAUGAAAAGAGAAUUACAGUUGAUGGAGAGAGACCCUCCUCCAGGAAUAUCUUGUUGGAUGGUUGAUGACCGUAUUGAUAAUUUACAAGCAA